UCGAGCGAACAGAUAAGGAGCUUGCUCCUUUGGCGUUAGCGGGGGACGGGUGAGUAACACGUGGGUAACCUACCUAUAAAACUGGGAUAACUUCCGGAAACCGGAGCUAAUACCGGAUAACAUCUUGAACCGCAUGGGUCUAGAGCGAAAGACGGCUUUGCUAUCACUUAUACAUGGACCCGCGCCGUAUUAGCUAGGUGGUAAGGUAACGGCUUACCAAGGCGACGAUACGUAGCCGACCUGAGAGGGUGAUCGGCCACACUGGAACUGACACACGGCCCAGACUCCUACGGGAGGCAGAGUAGGGAAUCUUCCGCAAUGGGCGAAAGCCUGACGGAGCAACGCCGCGUGAGUGAUGAAGGGUUUCGGCUCGUAAAACUCUGUUAUUAGGGAAAAACAAACGUGUAAGUAACUGUGCACGUCUUGACGGUACCUAAUCACAAAGCCACGGCUAACUACGUGCCAGCAGCCGCGGUAAUACGUAGGUGGCAAGCGUUAUCCGGAAUUAUUGGGCGUAAAGCGCGCGUAGGCGUUUUGUUAAGUCUGAUGUGAAAGACCCACGGCUCAACCGUGGAGGGUCAUUGGAACCUGGGAAACUUGAGUGCAGAAGAGGAAAGUGGAAUUCCAUGUGUAGCGGUGAAAUGCGCAGAGAUAUGGAGGAACACCAGUGGCGAAGGCUGACUUUCUGGUCUGUAACUGACGCUGAUGUGCGACAGCGUGGGGAUCAAACAGGAUUAGAUACCCUGGUAGUCCACGCCGUAAACGAUGAGUGCUAAGUGUUAGGGGGUUUCCGCCCCUUAGUGCUGCAGCUAACGCAUCUAAGCACUCCGCCUGGGGAGUACGGCCGCAAGGUUGAAACUCAAAGGAAUUGACGGGGACCCGCACAAGCGGUGGAGCAUGUGGUUUAAUUAGAAGCAACGCGAAGAACCUUACCAAAUCUUGACAUCCUUCGAAAACUGUAGAGAUAGAGCCUUCCCCUUUGGGGGACAAAGUGACAGGUGGUGCAUGGUUGUCGUCAGUUCGUGUCGUGAGAUGUUGGGUUAAGUCCCGCAACGAGCGCAACCCUUAAGCUUAGUUGCCAUCAUUAAGUUGGGCACUCUAUAAUGACUGCCGGGGACAAACCGGAGGAAGGGGGGGAGGACGUCAAAUCAUCAUACCCCUUAUGAUUUGGGGUACACACGUGUCACAAUGGACAAUACAAAGGGCAGCUAAACCGCGAGGUCAUGCAAAUCCCAUAAAGUUGUUAUCAGUUCGGAUUGUAGUGUGCAACUCGAGUACACGAAAAGGGAAUCGCUAGUAAUCGUAGAUCAGCAUAUUACGGGGAAUACGUUUCCGGGUGUUGUGCACACCGCCCGUCUCACCCCGAGAGAGUGUAACACCCAAAAGUAGGGAGUAACCCUCUAGGAG
rnacentral:rRNA from 1 species